GCAUCCAUGUGAGCGGACCUUAAGGGAGUCAUCUGCAGCUAAGUGGAUCAACAAAGACGCUGCAGUAGCAUCAAAGGAUUCCAGGGAAGUGUUCAUGACACCAACACCCUCCUCAAGAUCCCAGACUCCAACACAACAGUGAACUUUGGCUCUCAGCUCCCUUGGCCUCUUAAUGAAGAAAUGAGUUUCUUACUGUCCAGCAAUUACAGUGUGUUACUCCAGACUGAAGGAUAACCAAAGGAGAACCAACACAUGAAAAAUGACUGGAAAACCCUACAGUCAAAUCCUUGCUCAAGCAAAAGCAUUUUCCAUUGAAGCCAGAUGAGGAGAGAGCUCUACCUUCUUGAUGCUGCAGCUGAGAAUUUUUUUCUUGAUUCUCACCAACCAUGUUUCUAACGGGAGUGGAAGAUGCAAAAGGGCCGGUUCUGCUGACACAGGAAAUGGACUGGAUCAUUCGGAAGGGAGACAAUCCUUCUAGUUUUUUCUUUGUUUCUUUAUGACAUUUCUAUAUAACCCAAUAGCCAAAGUAUCCUGCUCUCAAGCUGCUUAGGAACUUAAAGUAUGUAUAAUUAGCACUUCAAACUGCCUAGAAAUUGACUGGCAACUGGUGGACUCAUUCAGAAAGUAAAAUUAAAAAUUUCAAAUAACUGGCACAAUCAAUAAUUUUGUGCCUAUAUUUUCAACCACCUUUGCUUUCUUUAAGAGCAGACCCACGAAGAGGGUUUGAUCAUAAUCUGAUCUUAAUAAAGCUAAGGUGUAUGUAAUCAAGACCAAUUCUGCCUUAUCCAGAAACAAAUGCAAGCUAGGCAGAGGCAACUUCAGAUUGAAAUCCAGAAGAAAGGGAAGAUCCUGAAGUGCCCCCCCCACCCGCCCUU